rnacentral:rRNA from 1 species
GUGGGGAAUAUUGGACAAUGGGCGCAAGCCUGAUCCAGCCAUGCCGCGUGAGUGAUGAAGGCCCUAGGGUUGUAAAGCUCUUUCACCGGUGAAGAUAAUGACGGUAACCGGAGAAGAAGCCCCGGCUAACUUCGUGCCAGCAGCCGCGGUAAUACGAAGGGGGCUAGCGCUGUUCGGAAUUACUGGGCGUAAAGCGCACGUAGGCGGACAUUUAAGUCAGGGGUGAAAUCCCGGGGCUCAACCCCGGAACUGCCUUUGAUACUGGGUGUCUGGAGUAUGGAAGGGGUAAGUGGAAUUCCGAGUGUAGAGGUGAAAUUCGUAGAUAUUCGGAGGAACACCAGUGGCGAAGGCGGCUUACUGGUCCAUUACUGACGCUGAGGUGCGAAAGCGUGGGGAGCAAACAGGAUUAGAUACCCGAGUAGUCC